rnacentral:rRNA from 1 species
UAACGGCCCACCAAGGCGACGAUCAGUAGGGGUUCUGAGAGGAAGGUCCCCCACAUUGGAACUGAGACACGGUCCAAACUCCUACGGGAGGCAGCAGUGAGGAAUAUUGGUCAAUGGACGAGAGUCUGAACCAGCCAAGUAGCGUGCAGGAUGACGGCCCUAUGGGUUGUAAACUGCUUUUAUAAGGGAAUAAAGUGAGUCUCGUGAGACUUUUUGCAUGUACCUUAUGAAUAAGGACCGGCUAAUUCCGUGCCAGCAGCCGCGGUAAUACGGAAGGUCCGGGCGUUAUCCGGAUUUAUUGGGUUUAAAGGGAGCGUAGGCCGGAGAUUAAGCGUGUUGUGAAAUGUAGACGCUCAACGUCUGCACUGCAGCGCGAACUGGUUUCCUUGAGUACGCACAAAGUGGGCGGAAUUCGUGGUGUAGCGGUGAAAUGCUUAGAUAUCACGAAGAACUCCGAUUGCGAAGGCAGCUCACUGGAGCGCAACUGACGCUGAAGCUCGAAAGUGCGGGUAUCGAACAGGAUUAGAUACCCUGGUAGUCCGCACGGUAAACGAUGGAUGCCCGCUGUUGGUCUGAAUAGGUCAGCGGCCAAGCGAAAGCAUUAAGCAUCCCACCUGGGGAGUA